UACGUAGGGAGCAAGCGUUAUCCGGAAUUAUUGGGUGUAAAGGGUGCGUAGACGGGAUAACAAGUUAGUUGUGAAAACCCUCGGCUCAACUGAGGACUUGCAACUAAAACUAUUAUUCUUGAGUGCAGGAGGGGAAAGUGGAAUUCCUAGUGUAGCGGUGAAAUGCGUAGAUAUUAGGAAGAACACCAGUGGCGAAGGCGACUUUCUGGACUGUAACUGACGUUGAGGCACGAAAGUGUGGGGAGCAA
rnacentral:rRNA from 1 species